rnacentral:rRNA from 1 species
AACGAACGCUGGCGGCAUGCCUAACACAUGCAAGUCGAACGAGACCUUCGGGUCUAGUGGCGCACGGGUGCGUAACGCGUGGGAACCUGCCCUUAGGUUCGGAAUAACUCCCCGAAAGGGGUGCUAAUACCGGAUAAUGUCUUCGGACCAAAGAUUUAUCGCCUUUGGAUGGGCCCGCGUUGGAUUAGCUAGUUGGUAGGGUAAAAGCCUACCAAGGCGACGAUCCAUAGCUGGUCUGAGAGGAUGAUCAGCCACACUGGGACUGAGACACGGCCCAGACCAGGAGUGUACGCAGCAGGGGGGGAGUGUGAAGAGGGGACGGAAGGCUGAACCAGCGAUGCCGGGAGAUGGUUGAAACGGGGAGGGAGGUAAAGGUCUGCUACACCGGGGUAGAAUGACAGUCACGAAAAAAGAAGCUACCGCGAACCCCAGU